GAUUCUCCUGCCUCAGCCUCCCAAGUAGCUGGGAUUACAGGUGCCUGCCGCCAUACCUGGAUCUGGCAACACCAGGCUGGCCUUCCUGUGAUACGAGAAGAAGCUGGAGCUGAAUAGGAGCUGCUCCCUUGGCCAGGGGCUCUCUACUUUGCCUCAGUCCCCACUACUCCCUAUUGCACCAGAUUCGACCUUCUUCAUAGUCAUGCACGUUUGCCACCUGGGCCUGUGGGAGUUUGCUGAUGAGGAAAUGAAGACCCAGGGAAGCUAUCUCUUGAGCACGUCAUGCAGCUGGCGAAGGGUGGAGCAGGGCUUCCAAUGCAGACCUUUCCAACUCCACUGUCCCUGCUCUCCUGCGUGCCCUUUCCUGCCUUUUCUCAAGGGAGACCAUGAGAUCAAGAAAAAAGAUUUUCUUCUCCACGGCAAUUGAAGUGUUGACUUUGACAAUGAAAGCUACAGAAUGUAUGACGUUUCCCUUUUGGCCUUGCUUGCCAAGAAGCUUGUGCUUUUUGUCAAACUGUUUCCUUCCCCUUUCCAUGGUUUUGGUCUUCUACCUUUGACAGCCUUUUAUUCACGUGUCUUUUACUGUAAGCUCUUCUACUCAUAGAAUAAGCUGAAUAUUUAAAUAGAGAUUGAAUUGA